ensembl:lncRNA
UGCUUUUCCCAAAGAUACCUUGUGCCCAUUUUCUAAUGACAGUGUCUUUGAGCCGUAAACUAUCGUAGUGAUGCAGAAAAUAACGACUAAUGUACUACUUGACCAAAUAAUCUAACCGUACGGCCGUGUCAGGGGUGUUUUAAUAUGUGCUACUUAACACCGGCUUAUGUGCUGAAUCCUUUUCAUUCCUUUGAUAAAUAUCCUUUCUAUUGACAUACACUUUAGUUUUUGAUUCGCUCGGCUUCCUAAUUGUUUCUUCUUAAUGCACGCAAUUAUGCAAGAUCCAAUUACCGGCGUCUUUAGAGAUUCCUGUUAUUGUUAAUAUUCUUAAGCCCCGAGAUAAAUAGAAACGAACGAAGCUUUCAACGACGCGUCCGCUUGAGCGAGGUCGAUGGGUCUGAAGGAACGAGAGAGUCACGCAAAGUUCAUCCUCGGAUCAACUAAGCAUACUUUUGUUGUAGUGAUGUAGCCAUUUUCUAGAUAUCACGAGAAUGAAUGGGAAGUUUAAUGGUCAAAAGAGUUCAUUUGGAAAUGGAUACACAGAAUGAAAAACAGACAUUUUUCUGCCCUUUUUUCUUUCUUUCCGCUCCCCUCUCUCGUGUGUGAGGAAGUUGGCUCCUUGUCGACCCUUCCCUUCGAAACCACUUAAAAAAAAAAAAAAAAAAACACUUAGAAAACACAGAAAGACUUUUGCGGCGAGACAGAAUGGAGGGGUGGACUCUCCUAUCUGUCAUCUCCGCUCAUUUCUUGCACCUUGGGUCGAGAGCUUGCAGGAGAGAGCACGGCAUGCAUUAUUUAGAUAGGCAAUGAAAUUCCACUGUGUUUAGCGCUGCCAAGGCGCAAAAGUCUAAAAAUACUAGGCCGAAGUAAUGAAACCUCUAGAUACGGUGAUGAAUCUCCGACGAGACCGGCCUCCUGCUGGAUAAGUGGCCCAGAUAUCCCGUCAUUGUGCUCAUGCCAUCAUUUAUAUAAGAUGCCGUGAUCAGUGUUGACUGAAGAGACUGAGCACUAAGGCUGUAAUGCAUGCGCACUAUUAUCUAUAGGUGGCUGUGUAUGACUUAUUGGCACUCGUGUGUAUUAAGUGCCAGCGUUGGGUCGUUAGGCAAGAAUAGACAACACGUUUUUUCUAAAAAAUAAAUAAAUAUAUAUAUAUUUUUAUUAUUAUUAUUUCUUCAUAGCCUGAAUUCAAAUCCGUGAAAUCCCU